GCCAUUCCAACAUAUGCUGCUUAGCUUAGAUCUACUAGCCAUUUCAACAACUGGAUAGUGGAUAUCGCGGUCCUCAUUAACAAUUGAAUUAUAUUCAAAAACUUUGAUCUUCUUAUUUACACCAGCAGUUGCAAAAUAUUCACCAUCACGAUCAAAGCCUAGAGCACAUACAAGAUUGGAAGAAUUUAGAAGAUCCCCUUGCUUCAAGUCAGCCUUCACUUCCAGCUUGCUAUAAGAUAGAUACUUGCACAGUCCCUCCAGGAAUGAACUGAUUGAUCCACUCUGUCUAUCCUCAUUGCACCCCUCUUUUGAUGCCAAAUUACUCAUUG
rnacentral:misc_RNA from 1 species